AUCUUACCAGCAGCAGGCUCUGCGAUGAAGGGACACUCUAAUUGUCACCUGCACCAACAGUGCCACAAGCAUCUUUGCCGGCUUCGUCAUCUUCUCCGUUAUCGGCUUCAUGGCCAAUGAACGCAAAGUCAACAUUGAGAAUGUGGCAGACCAAGGGCCAGGCAUUGCAUUUGUGGUUUACCCGGAAGCCUUAACCAGGCUGCCUCUCUCUCCGUUCUGGGCCAUCAUCUUUUUCCUGAUGCUCCUCACUCUUGGACUUGACACUAUGUUUGCCACCAUCGAGACCAUAGUGACCUCCAUCUCAGACGAGUUUCCCAAGUACCUACGCACACACAAGCCAGUGUUUACUCUGGGCUGCUGCAUUUGUUUCUUCAUCAUGGGUUUUCCAAUGAUCACUCAGGGUGGAAUUUACAUGUUUCAGCUUGUGGACACCUAUGCUGCCUCCUAUGCCCUUGUCAUCAUUGCCAUUUUUGAGCUCGUGGGGAUCUCUUAUGUGUAUGGCUUGCAAAGAUUCUGUGAAGAUAUAGAGAUGAUGAUUGGAUUCCAGCCUAACAUCUUCUGGAAAGUCUGCUGGGCAUUUGUAACCCCAACCAUUUUAACCUUUAUCCUUUGCUUCAGCUUUUACCAGUGGGAGCCCAUGACCUAUGGCUCUUACCGCUAUCCUAACUGGUCCAUGGUGCUCGGAUGGCUAAUGCUCGCCUGUUCCGUCAUCUGGAUCCCGAUUAUGUUUGUGAUAAAAAUGCAUCUGGCCCCUGGAAGAUUUAUUGAGAGGCUGAAGUUGGUGUGCUCGCCACAGCCGGACUGGGGCCCAUUCUUAGCUCAACACCGUGGGGAGCGUUACAAGAACAUGAUCGACCCCUUGGGAACCUCUUCCUUGGGACUCAAACUGCCAGUGAAGGAUUUGGAACUGGGCACUCAGUGCUAGUCCAGUGGUGUGGGAUGGUCCAGACUUGAUCCUGUUUUUCCUCUCUGCCUCCUCCUAAUGUUUUCCAUAGCUCUCCUCCCAUUUUUCUUCAUCUUUCUUCCUACAUCUUGGUUCACAUCCACGCAUGAGAGUGAUUAUGUAGAAAAGUAGGCAUAGUGUCGCAUGCUGUAGUAAAGAGCUACAUAGACCACCUGAA
rnacentral:sRNA from 1 species